UACGUAGGGUGCGAGCGUUAAUCGGAAUUACUGGGCGUAAAGCGUGCGCAGGCGGUUUUGUAAGCCAGAUGUGAAAUCCCCGGGCUUAACCUGGGAAUGGCAUUUGGGACUGCAAGGCUCGAGUGCGGCAGAGGAGACUGGAAUUCCUGGUGUAGCGGUGAAAUGCGCAGAUAUCAGGAGGAACACCGGUGGCGAAGGCGGGACUCUGGGCCGAUACUGACGCUGAGGAGCGAAAGCGUGGGGAGCAAACAGG
rnacentral:rRNA from 1 species